GAGGGUAUAGCUCAGUGGUAGAGCACGUGCUUUAACCGCACGAGGUCCUGGGUUCAAUCCCCAGUACCUCCA
rnacentral:tRNA from 1 species